rnacentral:rRNA from 1 species
GAUGAACGCUGGCGGCGUGCCUAAUACAUGCAAGUCGAGCGAACGGACGAGAAGCUUGCUUCUCUGAUGUUAGCGGCGGACGGGUGAGUAACACGUGGAUAACCUACCUAUAAGACUGGGAUAACUUCGGGAAACCGGAGCUAAUACCGGAUAAUAUUUUGAACCGCAUUGUUCAAAAGUGAAAGACGGUCUUGCUGUCACUCAUAGAUGGAUCCGCGCUGCAUUAGCUAGUUGGUAAGGUAACGGCUUACCAAGGCUACGAUGCAUAGCCGACCUGAGAGGGUGAUCGGCAACACUGGAACUGAGACACGGUCCAGACUCCUACGGGAGGCAGCAGUAGGGAAUCUUCCGCAAUGGGCGAAAGCCUGCCGGAGCAACGCCGCGUGAGUGAUGAAGGUCUUCGGAUCGUAAAACUCUGUUAUUAGGGAAGAUCAUAUGUGUAAGUAACUGUGCACAUCUUGACGGUACCUAAUCAGAAAGCCACGGCUAACUACGUG